GUCUAUUCAUAUCAUGCAAUAUUAUUCAGCCUUACAGAGGAAGGAAAUCCUGUCACAUGACAAACAACAUGGACUAACCUUGAAGACAUUACACUAAGUGACAUAAGCCAGUCACAGAAGGACAAAUACUACAUGAUUUCACUUAUAUGAAGUAUCUACAGUUGUCAGAGUCAUAGAUAAAGAAAGUUGAAUGGUGGUUACCAGGAGCUGGAAGUAAGAGGCAAAAAGGAGUUAUUUAAUGAGUACACAGUUUCAGUUCUACAAGAUCUGGAGAUCUAGUUCACAACAAUGAAAACAUACUUAACACUUAAAACAGUUAUGAUAAAUGUUAUGAAUUUCUCAUACACUUAAAAAUUGAAAAAUUUCUCUGUCACUUAAAAAAACUGAUUUUGUUUGGUUUUUGGCCUCUAUAGAUACCCCAAACUUGCAUUAAUUGAGGUCAUCUAAGGUGAUGUACAUUUGAAGCAAAUAGUUCUUUUUCCAAGUAAAGUAAUUGAGGGGGCACCCUAUAAUAUGACAGGUGUUGUAAGGGCUUCACUACAAGAAAACUCUUUUCUGGGGAUUUUCUUAGGGGGAGAUGGGAACUUCAGGCUCAUAUGGUACCUUGCCCAGAGUGCACAGCUUGUGGGCCUUGUGGAGCCAGCAUGAGAACGCAGGACUAUCUGACCCCAAAGCUAGAGUUCUUAGUCAUUGCACCUUGGUACCUUUGCAGCCAUGGCCACAGCUAUUUGUUGAAUUAAUUGAACAGGAGUUGGGAGAAUGCUUUUCUGCUUUUCUUUUCCAGUUAUGUUAGUGGCCCCAGUCCUCUGAUCACAUUCUCAGUUUGUUGGUGCUAAAUCCUGGUCUGGGGGCAGCCAACUAGCCUAGAGCAGAGUUGGAUUCCAAAGAAGGGUUUGGCCCUCAUUUUGAAUACCUGUACAAGCAGAAACAUACUGGGACAAGACGUUCCAAGGCAUCCUGGAGCUCCUACAUCCAUCACCCACGUAAGAAUGCUCUCACGCCAGUUCCUAUGGGUUUGGAGCUAUGAUAACUAAAAACUCCUAUGGCUUAGAAUGGAACAACCUUCUCUCCUCUGUAGUGGAUUACUUCUGUUUCAGUGGGAAUGAAAGUGUCAGGCCAGUGGGGCUCAAUACUGAAUAUACAUUAGAAUUACCCAGGGAGACUUUCAAAAACACCAGUGGCUGGGACCCACCCCCAGAAAUUCUGAUUCACAAGUUGGGCUAGGGUCCAAGCAACAGUAAUUUUUUUUUUAAGCUUAAUGUGUAGCUGGGGUCAAGAACUGCUGUCUCAGCAGAUAAGCAACUGGAACAGUGGUUGACUGGGGGAAUCACAAGAGUAUCCGAUUUCUCCUUGACCCUUCUUGUCAGGGUCCAAAUUGUUCAGAGACAUCUCUAAGGCAAGGCCCCUG
rnacentral:lncRNA from 1 species